rnacentral:rRNA from 1 species
UACGUAGGGUGCAAGCGUUGUCCGGAAUUAUUGGGCGUAAAGAGCUCGUAGGCGGUUUGUUGCGUCGGCUGUGAAAUCCCGAGGCUCAACCUCGGGUCUGCAGUCGAUACGGGCAGACUAGAGUUCGGCAGGGGAGACUGGAAUUCCUGGUGUAGCGGUGAAAUGCGCAGAUAUCAGGAGGAACACCGGUGGCGAAGGCGGGUCUCUGGGCCGGUACUGACGCUGAGACGCGAAAGCGUGGGGAGCGAACAGG